rnacentral:rRNA from 1 species
AUCCUACGGGGGGCAGCAGUGGGGAAUAUUGCACAAUGGGGGAAACCCUGAUGCAGCGACGCCGCGUGAGUGAAGAAGUAUUUCGGUAUGUAAAGCUCUAUCCGCAGGGAAGAAAAUGACGGUACCUGACUAAGAAGCCCCGGCUAACUACGUGCCAGCAGCCGCGGUAAUACGUAUGGAGCAAGCGUUAUCCGGAUUUACUGGGUGUAAAGGGAGCGCAGACGGCAAGGCAAGUCUGAUGUGCAAGUCCGAGGCUCAACCUCGGGACUGCAUUGGAAACUGUCUGGCUAGAGUGCAGGAGAGGG